rnacentral:snoRNA from 1 species
GCCCAAUGAUGAGACCAAGGCGAAUGCGAGCCAACUGAAAGAGGGUUGGGAUCUCUCUCGUCUCGUUUGGCCGGUAAUCUUGGCAGUGUAGCGGAGAUUGGCUGCUCUGCUGUAAGGGCCGGCCUACAGUGACUUGGCCCCACCCACACGUUUCUCCUGCUAAAGAAACACGAUAGAGAAUAGUGGGAGAGUGCUGACAGUGUGACUGAUGUCUGUUUGCCUGUGUCUGCCUGCCUUUAUGCAUGAGGCAGGGAGAAUCCCAUCUCUCCUCAAUAUUCAGUUGGUCAUGAGCGCUCUUUGUUAAUCUGAGGGCU